rnacentral:rRNA from 1 species
GACGAACGCUGGCGGCGUGCCUAACACAUGCAAGUCGAGCGGAGAAUGCGGACAUGUUUACAUGAAAGUGUUCUUAGCGGCGGACGGGUGAGUAACACGUGGGUAACCUGCCUCAAAGUGGGGGAUAGCCUUCCGAAAGGAAGAUUAAUACCGCAUAAGCCUACAGUACCGCAUGGUACAGCAGGAAAAGGAGCAAUCCGCUUUGAGAUGGACCCGCGGCGCAUUAGCUAGUUGGUGAGGUAACGGCUCACCAAGGCGACGAUGCGUAGCCGACCUGAGAGGGUGAUCGGCCACAUUGGAACUGAGACACGGUCCAGACUCCUACGGGAGGCAGCAGUGGGGAAUAUUGCACAAUGGGCGAAAGCCUGAUGCAGCAACGCCGCGUGAGUGAUGAAGG